rnacentral:rRNA from 1 species
UACGAAGGGGGCUAGCGUUGUUCGGAAUUACUGGGCGUAAAGGGCGCGUAGGCGGCGUGUCAAGUCAGGCGUGAAAGCCCCGGGCCCAACCUGGGAACCGCGCUUGAGACUGGCAUGCUCGAGUUCGGGAGAGGAUGGUGGAAUUCCCAGUGUAGAGGUGAAAUUCGUAGAUAUUGGGAAGAACACCGAUGGCGAAGGCAGCCAUCUGGACCGACACUGACGCUGAGGCGCGAAAGCGUGGGGAGCAAACAGG